CCGGCGCACGGGUGAGUAACACGUAUGCAAUCCACCUGUAACAGGGGGAUAACCCGGAGAAAUCCGGACUAAUACCCCAUAAUAUGGGCGCUCCGCAUGGAGAGUUCAUUAAAGAGAGCAAUUUUGGUUACAGACGAGCAUGCGCUCCAUUAGCCAGUUGGCGGGGUAACGGCCCACCAAGCCUUCGAUGGAUAGGGGUUCUGAGAGGAAGGUCCCCCACAUUGGAACUGAGACACGGUCCAA
rnacentral:rRNA from 1 species